GGGUGUCUAAUGAGGUAGUUAAGCACAGGUACUACAUUAAGCUGUAAAUUAAAAUUGUACGCUUGAGAAGCUCCUGGUUCUUACUUACCGUCUAUUGGCAG
rnacentral:pre_miRNA from 1 species